rnacentral:rRNA from 1 species
GUCGUGCGAGAAGCUUUUUUUGCUUGCAUUAGAAGUGGACAGCGGCGCAAGGGAGAGUAACGCGUGGAUAUCUGCCCCUAGACCCGGGAUAGCUGUGGGAAACUGCAGGUAAUACCGGAUAAUGUCUCCGGACCAAAGGUGUGAUUCCGUCUAGGGAUGAGUCCGCGUCCUACUAGCUUGUUGGUGGGGUAAUGGCCUACCAAGGCAAUGAUGGGUAGCGGGUGUGAGAGCAUGGCCCGUCUCACUGGGACUGAGACACUGCCCAGACACCUACGGGUGGCUGCAGUCGAGAAUCUUCCGCAAUGGACGAAAGUCUGACGGAGCGACGCCGCGUGCGGGAUGAAGGCCCUCGGGUUGUAAACCGCUGUCAGUUGGGAGGAAAUGCAUAAGGGUACUCUCUUAUGUUUGACCGAUCUUCAGAGGAAGUCCGGGCUAAGUUCGUGCCAGCAGCCGCGGUAAGACGAACCGGACGAACGUUAUUCGGAAUCACUGGGCUUAAAGAGUGCGUAGGCGGCUUGGUAGGUUGGGUGUGAAAUCCCCACAGCUCAACUGUGGGAACUGCGCUCAAAACCACCAAGCUUGAGGAAGGCAGAGGUGAGCGGAACUGAUGGUGGAGCGGUGAAAUGCGUUGAUUUCAUCAGAACACCCGGUGGCGAAAGCGGGCUCACUGGGCCUUUUCUGACGCUGAGGCACGAAAGCUAGGGUAGCGAACAGGAUUAGAUACCCUGGUAGUCCUAGCUGUAAACG